rnacentral:rRNA from 1 species
UACGUAGGGGGCAAGCGUUGUCCGGAAUCAUUGGGCGUAAAGCGCGUGUAGGCGGUUCGGUAAGUCUGCUGUGAAAGUCCAGGGCUCAACCCUGGGAUGCCGGUGGAUACUGUCGAACUAGAGUACGGAAGAGGCGAGUGGAAUUCCCGGUGUAGCGGUGAAAUGCGCAGAUAUCGGGAGGAACACCAAUUGCGAAGGCAGCACUCUGGGACGGUACUGACGCUGAGACGCGAAAGCGUGGGGAGCAAACAGG